CUGAUGGGCCGUUGUUCUGAUG
rnacentral:siRNA from 1 species